GAUGAAGAACGUAGCGAAAUGCGAUAAGUAAUGUGAAUUGCAGAAUUCAGUGAAUCAUCGAAUCUUUGAACGCACAUUGCGCCCGCCAGUAUUCUGGCGGGCAUGCCUGUUCGCGCGUCAUUACAACCCUCAGGCCCCCGGGCCUGGCGUUGGGGAUCGGCGGAAGCCCCCUGCGGGCACAACGCCGUCCCCCAAAUACAGUGGCGGUCCCGCCGUAGCUUCCAUUGCGUAGUAGCUAACACCUCGCAACUGGAGAGCGGCGCGGCCACGCCGUAAAACACCCAACUUCUGAAUGUUGACCUCGAAUCAGGUAGGAAUACCCGCUGAACUUAAGCAUAUCAAUAAGCGGAGGA
rnacentral:misc_RNA from 1 species